rnacentral:pre_miRNA from 1 species
CGGGGGAGGCCGGAUCCUGGGCUGUGUCCCGGCGCCCUCUGCCCGGGUCUGUGCUGUGGGAUUCGCGCUCCUGCCCCGCAGCCCCCU